UCCUUUGACUUGCAAGUUUAGAAGAAUCCAGGACCGAAGAACAGAGGCAUGGCGAUUCAGAUUUCUGGAGGUGUGUUUGUUUGCUCCUUUGAGCUAAAAGUAGCAGAUUUUUCUUAUCCGAGUCUACGGUUCUGCUUCAAAUUCUCAGCUUGUUCAUCGAUUUGUACCUUUGUUGGCUCUGGUCUCUGAUUCUGAUUCUAAUUUCCAGCGCUUAUAAUCUGUCUGUCUUCGUGUCCCUAUUUUUGCCCGGAUUCUCUCCCCGCACAUUAUUAUUUCAAUAUCAAAAUUGGCCUUUCUUCAUGAUUCUGGAUUACGGUGGAGUGAAUCCAUCUGGAUAAUCUAUGAAUUGUUCAGUAAGCUGAUUCUGGAAUCCUAGGUCAUGAUGUCUAGAUUGGACUGUAAAUUUUUGUUCAAGGUCUGUGCUUCUUUUAAUAUAUCCUUGAGUAAUGUCAACUGAAGGCAAUAAUUAAGUUUCUGCUUUUGGGGAAAAUAUCUGAGUUUGGUGUGAAUAAACAUAAAGUCAAACUCAUUUGCGUGUCAUUUUCAUUUGCCGUAUCGUAGUAAUUGUUAACUUUAAAAUUGGUUGUUGCAGAUAUGUUCUUCUGUUGACAAACCACCAUUAAGUAGUAUCACUCAAAGUAAAGAAAGAAAAUAUGGAUGAUGGAGAUAUUGAGCUUUCAGAUAGUUUCUUGUUGUCGAAUCCAGAGUCAUCUAGCAAUGUUCAGUCUCCAACAUCCAUGAAUAAAAUCAAUGAAUUCUUGAGGAACACCAGAACAUGCACCCAUACUCACACUUGCAACCCUCCUGGCCCUGAUGCAGCACAUACCCACACAUGUUACCACACACACACCCAAGUGAUUGCAUCUGAGGAUGAUCAUACAGAUGAUAAGGAGCACACCAACUCAAAAAGAAAACGGCCUUCGGGUAAUAGAGAAGCUGUUCGAAAGUAUAGGGAGAAGAAGAAGGCACAGACAGCUCACCUGGAGGAGGAAGUUAAGAAACUGCGUCUGCAGAAUCAGCAAUUAGUUAAGAAACUACAAGGCCAUGCGCUUCUUGAAGCUGAGGUCUUGAGGUUGAGGAGCAUUCUGGUAGACCUUAAAGGGAAAAUUGACAAUGAGUUGGGUGUUUUUCCUUAUAAAAAGCAGUGCAAUAGCUCUUCUUCAAUCUUUAAGGAUGGGCAAACCAAUAUGCUGCCCACAGGCCAUGCGACUGGUCUUCAGUGUGAGACCAAUUUUCAGUGCUUUGAUCACCGUGCAGGAUUACCAUCUCAGGUUGAUAUAUGUGGAAAUGAAAAUUUCAUGAUUCCAUGUGAAGGGAACUGUCAACCUGUCGCUGUAAAUUGUCAAGCAAACACAAAUAACAUGUCAAAUACUGAAGGGCAAGUUGUGGACUCAUUGGAUAACUUGAUGUCAUCUGCAUCUCAAGAUGAGAAAGUGAAUUAUCUCCAAUCUUGAACUCGUUAUCCUGGGUGAUUUACGCAGCAUUUUCUACAUGAAAGAAAUCAUAAACACAAGGAAACAAUCAUUUACAGUGACAUUGGCUUGAAAUGAAAGAGUGGGGCUGCAGAAUUCUACCAGAACAAAGUUUUUGUGGCAGUACUGAACUGCUGCUUUGUGGAACUGGAAUUAAAGCUUCAACAUUAUGAAUUUAUCAGCUACGUAAAACUACUUUUGCUGCAUCAGUCAUUUCCCCCUAUGAUUCAUUCUCAUUGAAAAUGACCUGUCUCUCCAAAUUUGACUCGCUGGUCUUGGAGCAUGUUUGGGGUGGCUCAAGGCUACUUUCCAUAAAAUCACGUUUUGAGGUGACUCAACGCCACCCCAAACACACGCUUAAUCCAGUACCCUUCAGCCUUCAAAUUCAAGGUGGAUUCCAUUUUUUUUCGUUCUUAGGCAUAUGCUGAUUCUGGCUAAUUUUGGUUAGACCAUGUGCAAUGCGCAUGUUUAUGUAUAUAGUUGUUUUAUUCCUUGAACUCUUCUCUGAUAAUUUUACCAAGGACAAAAGCUAGGUAAAAAUUCUUGAGCACUUGCUAUCAAGAUUUUCAAUAAAAAUAUAUCGAAUGUGUACAUAAUUCAAUAUUACAUCACUUAUUAUUGUAAUGGUGUUUUCGCUUGUGA